rnacentral:rRNA from 1 species
AGAUUGAACGCUGGCGGCAGGCCUAACACAUGCAAGUCGAGCGGCAGCACGGGUACUUGUACCUGGUGGCGAGCGGCGGACGGGUGAGUAAUGCCUAGGAAUCUGCCUGGUAGUGGGGGAUAACGCUCGGAAACGGACGCUAAUACCGCAUACGUCCUACGGGAGAAAGCAGGGGACCUUCGGGCCUUGCGCUAUCAGAUGAGCCUAGGUCGGAUUAGCUAGUUGGUGGGGUAAUGGCUCACCAAGGCGACGAUCCGUAACUGGUCUGAGAGGAUGAUCAGUCACACUGGAACUGAGACACGGUCCAGACUCCUACGGGAGGCAGCAGUGGGAAUAUUGGACAAUGGGCGAAAGCCUGAUCCAGCCAUGCCGCGUGUGUGAAGAAAGGUCUUCGGAUUGUAAAGCACUUUAAGUUGGAGAAGGCAGUUACCUAAUACGUAUCUGUUUGACGUUACCGACAGAAUAAGCACCGGCUAAACUCUGUG